rnacentral:rRNA from 1 species
GACGAACGCUGGCGGCGUGCCUAAUACAUGCAAGUCGAGCGGACAGAAGGGAGCUUGCUCCCGGAUGUUAGCGGCGGACGGGUGAGUAACACGUGGGUAACCUGCCUGUAAGACUGGGAUAACUCCGGGAAACCGGAGCUAAUACCGGAUAGUUCCUUGAACCGCAUGGUUCAAGGAUGAAAGACGGUUUCGGCUGUCACUUACAGAUGGACCCGCGGCGCAUUAGCUAGUUGGUGAGGUAACGGCUCACCAAGGCGACGAUGCGUAGCCGACCUGAGAGGGUGCUCGGCCACACUGGGACUGAGACACGGCCCAGACUCCUACGGGAGGCAGCAGUAGGGAAUCUUCCGCAAUGGACGAAAGUCUGACGGAGCAACGCCGCGUGAGUGAUGAAGGUUUUCGGAUCGUAAAGCUCUGUUGUUAGGGAAGAACAAGUGCAAGAGUAACUGCUUGCACCUUGACGGUACCUAACCAGAAAGCCACGGCUAACUACGUGCCAGCCGCCGCCGUAA